GCUACGCCUGUCUGAGGGUCG
rnacentral:rRNA from 1 species